rnacentral:rRNA from 1 species
UAGGGAAUCUUCCACAAUGGACGAAAGUCUGAUGGAGCAACGCCGCGUGAGUGAAGAAGGGUUUCGGCUCGUAAAACUCUGUUGUUAAAGAAGAACAUAUCUGAGAGUAACUGUUCAGAUAUUGACGGUAUUUAACCAGAAAGCCACGGCUAACUACGUGCCAC